rnacentral:rRNA from 1 species
ACUCCUGCGGGAGGCAGCAGUGGGGAAUAUUGCACAAUGGGCGCAAGCCUGAUGCAGCCAUGCCGCGUGUAUGAAGAAGGCCUUCGGGUUGUAAAGUACUUUCAGCGGGGAGGAAGGCGAUAAGGUUAAUAACCUUGUUGAUUGACGUUACCCGCAGAAGAAGCACCGGCUAACUCCGUGCCAGCAGCCGCGGUAAUACGGAGGGUGCAAGCGUUAAUCGGAAUUACUGGGCGUAAAGCGCACGCAGGCGGUCUGUCAAGUCGGAUGUGAAAUCCCCGGGCUCAACCUGGGAACUGCAUUCGAAACUGGCAGGCUAGAGUCUUGUAGAGGGGGGUAGAAUUCCAGGUGUAGCGGUGAAAUGCGUAGAGAUCUGGAGGAAUACCGGUGGCGAAGGCGGCCCCCUGGACAAAGACUGACGCUCAGGUGCGAAAGCGUGGGGAGCAAACAGGAUUAGAAACCCUAGUAGUCCCAUGA